AUGCUCAGGUGGGUCUCGAACCGACGACUAUUGUAUGUUGAAUGAGUGAUUUACCAACUUAGCUACCGAGCC
rnacentral:tRNA from 1 species